rnacentral:rRNA from 1 species
GACGAACGCUGGCGGCGUGCCUAAUACAUGCAAGUUGAGCGAUGAAGAUUGGUGCUUGCACCCAUUUGAAGAGCAGCGAACGGGUGAGUAACGCGUGGGGAAUCUGCCUUUGAGCGGGGGACAACAUUUGGAAACGAAUGCUAAUACCGCAUAACAACUUUAAACAUAAGUUUUAAGUUUGAAAGAUGCAAUUGCAUCACUCAAAGAUGAUCCCGCGUUGUAUUAGCUAGUUGGUGAGGUAAAGGCUCACCAAGGCGAUGAUACAUAGCCGACCUGAGAGGGUGGUCGGCCACAUUGGGACUGAGACACGGCCCAAACUCCUACGGGAGGCAGCAGUAGGGAAUCUUCGGCAAUGGACGAAAGUCUUACCGAGCAACGCCGCGUGAGUGAAGAAGGUUUUCGGAUCGUAAAACUCUGUUGGUAGAGAAGAACGUUGGUGAGAGUGGAAAGCUCAUCAAGUGACGGUAACUACCCAGAAAGGGACGGCUAACUACGUG